rnacentral:rRNA from 1 species
GAUGAACGCUGGCGGCGUGCCUAAUACAUGCAAGUCGAGCGAACAGACGAGGAGCUUGCUCCUCUGACGUUAGCGGCGGACGGGUGAGUAACACGUGGAUAACCUACCUAUAAGACUGGGAUCACUUCGGGAAACCGGCGCUAAUACCGGAUAAUCUAUUGAACCGCAUGGUUCAAUAGUGAAAGACGGUUUUGCUGUCACUUCUAGAUGGAUCCGCGCCGCAUUAGCUAGUUGGUAAGGUAACGGCUUACCAAGGCAACCAUGCGUAGCCGACCUGAGAGGGUGAUCGGCCACACUGGAACUGAGACACGGUCCAGACGCCUACGGGAGGCAGCAGUAGGGAAUCUGCCGCAAUGGGCGAAAGCCUGACGGAGCAACGCCGCGUGAGUGAUGAAGGUCUUCGGAUCGUAAAACUCGGUUAUUAGGGAAGAACAAAUGUGUAAGUAACUAUGCACGUCUUGACGGUAACUAAUCAGAAAGCCACGGCUAACUACGUG